UACAGAGGGGGCAAGCGUUGUUCGGAAUUACUGGGCGUAAAGGGCGCGUAGGCAGCCUGUUAAGUCGAACGUGAAAUCCCCGGGCUCAACCCGGGAACUGCGUCCGAUACUGGCAGGCUUGAAUCCGGGAGAGGGAUGCGGAAUUCCAGGUGUAGCGGUGAAAUGCGUAGAUAUCUGGAGGAACACCGGUGGCGAAGGCGGCAUCCUGGACCGGCAUUGACGCUGAGGCGCGAAAGCCAGGGGAGCAAACGGG
rnacentral:rRNA from 1 species